rnacentral:rRNA from 1 species
GACGAGGGAUCCUAGCGUUGUUCGGAAUCAUUGGGCGUAAAGCGGGUGUAGGCGGGCUUAUAAGUCAGGUGUGAAAUCCCAGGGCUCAACCCUGGAAGUGCACUUGAUACUGUAAGUCUUGAAUGUGGUAGAGGUUACCAGAAUUCCUGGUGUAGUGGUGAAAUACGUAGAUAUCAGGAGGAAUACCAGAGGCGAAGGCGGGUAACUGGGCCAACAUUGACGCUGAGAUCCGAAAGUGUGGGGAUCAAACAGG